rnacentral:SRP_RNA from 1 species
GCCGAGCCAAGUAGCGAUGGCUUGUCACCCGAGCGGGGGCAAUAAGGUGGUGCGGGAUGCCUGGUCGUUUGCGCUUGGGCCUGGGCCUGUGGUUCGCUCUAUGCGGCCCGCCCGUUCCAAGUUGCGUAGCGUGUAUGGGGUGCCCUGGCGAAAGCUAGAGCGUCCCUGCACCUAGAGUGGCGGGUAUUGCGUGAGGCUGGUUUCACAGAGCAGCGAGUACCGCCCGCUUCCAACGGUGGAAGGAUAACGGGCCGCUGCAGCCCUGGCCCGCUUCCGGCCCAUGUGCCUUCCAUGGCAGACCCCCAUCUUU